rnacentral:rRNA from 1 species
AAUAUGGCUCAGGAUGAACGCUAGCUACAGGCUUAACACAUGCAAGUCGAGGGGCGAGCAUGGUCUUAGCUUGCUAAGGCCGAUGGCGACCGGCGCACGGGUGAGUAACACGUAUCCAACCUGCCGUCUACUCUUGGACAGCCUUCUGAAAGGAAGAUUAAUACAAGAUGGCAUCAUGAGUCCGCAUGUUCACAUGAUUAAAGGUGUUCCGGUAGACGAUGGGGAUGCG